rnacentral:rRNA from 1 species
GACAGAGGGUGCAAACGUUGCUCGGAAUCACUGGGCGUAAAGGGUGCGUAGGCGGCGCGGUAAGUCGGGUGUGAAAUCUCGGGGCUUAACUCCGAAACUGCAUUCGAUACUGCCGUGCUUGAGGACUGGAGAGGAGACUGGAAUUUACGGUGUAGCAGUGAAAUGCGUAGAGAUCGUAAGGAAGACCAGUGGCGAAGGCGGGUCUCUGGACAGUUCCUGACACUGAGGCACGAAGGCCAGGGGAGCAAACGGG